GGCCCGGCGGGGCUGCCGGCCGUGCGGGCGCUGUGAGCGCUGUGAGCGCUGUGGGUCUUCCCGCCCGCCCCGGCUCCUGCCGCACUCUUGUGCGAGUCCUUCCCGGAGCUCUCGAGGUGUUGCGCAGACGCCGCCUCUGCAGGGUGGGAAGUGCCUUCGAUUCUGAGGCCAGGGAAGGAGAAACGGCAGUCUGAGAUCUCAAACAGAUUUUUGUUGCUGAAGAAUAUGUUGUUUUAGCAGCACAUAUAUAUAUAAAGAUUUUAAAGGACUUUAAAGAUGCCUAUUUUAGGCAAAUUUUUACUGUUAUUUAAACAAGCAGGGCAUAACCAUGACCAGCAAGGUGAGGAGCAGUUCACACAUCCCCUGGCACAGACCACUCCAGAAAGAGCUGCUUUAGAAUUUGGAAAUUCAACCAGUAUGGACAAAAGGAUCAGUGUUUAUGUCUGUGUUUAGUUUUUGUAUCAGUGGUUCAGAUUUCACUGCAAAUUCUUUGAGAUCUUCAGCACAUGGAAGAUUAGAAUUAGUAAUUUAGUAUCAUAAUGAAGAGUAAUUAAGGCCUUUCCUAAAUACCAGAAGGUGAUCAAGGAAAGCUCACUUCUUUCUUUCCAAGUCUCACUGCUGCUAUCAAGAGUAAAUGAAGCGCAACUCAUGGUUAAUGAAGUUUUUACUGUUCUACUAAAAUAAAAUUUAGUCUCUUAAAAUGCCUCCCUUUUGC
rnacentral:lncRNA from 1 species